UACGGAGGGGGCAAACGUUGUUCGGAAUUACUGGGCGUAAAGGGUGAGUAGGCGGUUCGAUUAGUCUAGCGUGAAAUCUCUCGGCUUACCCGGGAAACUGCGCUGGAAACUGUCGAGCUCGAGGAUGGAAGAGGCAGAUGGAAUUCCUGGUGUAGCGGUGGAAUGCGUAGAUAUCAGGAAGAACACUCGUGGCGAAGGCGGUCUGCUUGUCCAUUUCUGACGCUGAAUCACGAAAGCCAGGGGAGCAAACGGGAUUAGAUACCCCGGUAGUCCUGGCCCUAAACGGUGAACACUAGGUGUCGGGGGUAUCGACCCCCUCGGCGCCGUAGCUAACGCGUUAAGUGUUCCGCCUGGGGAGUACGACCGCAAGGUUGAA
rnacentral:rRNA from 1 species